rnacentral:rRNA from 1 species
AUUGAACGCUGGCGGCAUGCCUUACACAUGCAAGUCGAACGGCAGCACGGGUGCUUGCCCUUGGUGCCGCGUGGGGCACGGGUGUGAUAUACAUCGGUAUACGUGCUGUAGGGGGGGAUCGUCCGGAGACGGCCGGAUUUAUCCCACAUACCCUCUACGGGAGAGAGCGGGAUCCCCUCAGCCCUCGCGAUCUGAGGUUGCUAGGUCGGAUUAGCUAGUUGGUGGGGUAAAGGCCUACCAAGGCGACGAUCAGUAGCUGGUCUGAGAGGAUGACCAGCCACACUGGAACUGAGACACGGCCCAGACUCCUACGGGAGGCAGCAGUGGGGAAUAUUGGACAAUGGGCGAAAGCCUGAUCCAGCAAUGCCGCGUGUGUGAAGAAGGUCUUCGGGUUGUAAAGCACUUUUGGCUGGGAAGAAAUGCAGUGCGCUAAUACCGUCGGGGUUUGACGGUACCGGAAGAAUAAGCACCGGCUAACUACGUG